rnacentral:tRNA from 1 species
GCGGAAGUGGCUCAGUGGUAGAGCAUCUCCUUGCCAAGGAGAAGGUCGCGAGUUCGAAUCUCGUCUUCCGCUCCC